AAUAAAUAAAGAAAUAGUUAUUCCAAAUGGUACCAUAAAAUAACCGGGGGAACAGCAGGAUUUUUUUUUAAUUGGGUUAUUUAAAAUAUAGGAGGUUUAAAGAUCUUUUAAGACCUGCACUUCACGUUUCAGCCAUUAAACAAAUUUUAAGAAAAGGGAAGAGUCAAAAGUAUUAAUUAUUAUAUUAAUUUAAACAAUUAGACUAUAAUUAGUCAAUUAUUAGCUAUAUUAAUUUGCAUAAAUAUAUCUUAGUGUCUCAAUUGUUUAGAUUUAGAUUUUUAUAAUGCAUAAGCUUUUUGUCAGUCCACUGGUUCAGAUGUAAAGAUAUGUAACAAAAACAGUAGACAGGCUUAUUGAAAAAGCAAAUUCGUUCUCUGCCAGCAGAAAGUUUCACUUUCGGAAAUGGCAGAAAUAUAGUUGUCUGCCCGGAACAAAGCAGCGCUCAAGUUUAUUCAGUUUGAAGUUUAAUCUACAUACUAAUCUAUAUUGCAAUUUCUUGUCUUUCUAUCCCCAAAUUUAAGACCUCUUAUAAUUAAGACAUUCUGUAUUAAGAGUUUACACGGCCUUAAAUUGAAACGAUUUAACUGAAGACUUUUAAGGACCCGCGGAAACCCUAAGAACAUAGUUCUGUGAGAACAGUUAUGUUAUGCAUAUUGCAAAAUGCUUUUGUUGAUUUUACCUUUGAAAUUUGAAGCAAGAGUAACUCUGGCAUCCCUAAUGUUUGUGUGUAGUGGUGAUGACACAUUUCCAAACAAUCCAAACAUAUAUCUCCUUGAACUUGGUAAAGCAAUAAUCUGUUUACCAUAUUGCCUGGAAAAUGCUGUUUUCGUGGUCCGUUUUUCAUGUAUUAUUUGCUAAUAAUAGUGAAUGUUUACAUUAGAGGGCACGUCAUACUAUUGAAAUGAAGCGGGGAGUGGCUGGAAACUAGCGACCUCUCCUGGUUGGAGCUAGUAUUAUCAUCAUAAACUGAAAGCAAUAUUUACGUGACUUACAUUUCAAAUAUUUUUUAAUUGAUAAUCCGAGUUUUACAAAAUCCAGCGGGCUGUACUAAAGACACUGCGGGCCGUAUACAGCAGAUUCUUUUUUAUAUGCAAAAAUAGAUUACAUUAACGCCCCCUUUUGUCGGCUGUCAACGUCCCUAUAUUUGACGCUUUUUCUUUGAUGAUGAACCAGCAGACCGACGGCCGUUCUGGACUUCUCCAAAUGGCCAGUCCGCCCCUGCCAGCAUGGCUAAUACAAGAAUACUGACCAUGAGAAUUCAUUCAUUCUUUACUCAUCCCCAUGUCAUUACCAACUCGUACAAUUUACUUUCCUCUGCAGAACAAAAAAGAAGGUAUUUUGAAGAAUGUUGGUAAACCAAAUAGUUUUGUUUACCAUUGACUUUCAUUGUAUGGACAGAAAACACCUCUAAAAUAUAUUUGUCUUUGUUCCACAGUAUAUAAAAAGUUCAUACAGAGUUAUGCAUAUGAUUUCAGGUGCAGACUGUUACAAGUCUACUUAGAGGCCCACAGGAUACUAUGGCUAAGACAUAUACAAAUUUUCCUUUCAGUAUGCAAAACGUAAAAAAUGAUGAUCCACUAAGGAAUCUAGAUAGAAAAAAUUAAUCACCUACAAACAAAGUUGGGCAGGUUUCCACUGGUAAAUUGUUUGUAGUGUGAAGAGAACAUAGAAGGUGGUGUGACUAUUUCUUUGGCAGAGCUGAAUGUCAGGGUCAUUGCAGUUCACUAAUUUCUGCAUUAUUUCAUGCUUUUGUAUGUGAGGUGAUCUUACUGGCACAUGAUUGGCUGCACCAGCAGUUAUACAGCCUACUGUUAAAAUGGCAACCACUGUGACCUCUUAGAUGAGGUGAACACUCUUGUGCAUGGGGGAUUCCCAGCACUUGUAUAAACAGUGUAGUGAAGUUUGUCUAUUGCUGUUAUGACAAAAUAUUUAUAUGAGAAGUGUGAAGAGAAUAUCUGUUUCAUUAUCAAUGGCCCGUGAUAGUUCUUGCAUAAAUAAAAAAUUAAGCAUGUAUGCAGGGUCACGGGAGUAGUGUCAAGCAUUCCAGCAUUCUGAUCAACAGUUUCUCGGCAAAAACAUAUAUGUAACAACUGGUGCUUUUAGCCAGUUCUGGUCAUUUAAAUGUACAGCAUACAUCAGGCCAUGAACUGUCUGUGGGUGUGCUGAAUGUAUCACCCUGCUUAAUUUAACAUUAGUUAAUGUGUGAAAGCUAUCAUAAACGAACAAUAAACAAUACAUUUAAAGCAUUUAUUUAUGUUACUUCCUCUAUAUUUGCAUUUUGAGUGUUAACAACAAUGGAUUAUGAAUUAGUAUGAAUUAAAGCAGCAGUACAUUGUUUGUGUAUAUAUACAGUACACAAACACUGUAACCCUAAACCUAAAAAUUGUAGUUCAUAAAUGCUAAUACAAUAAUGUUAAUGAAUCAAACCUAAUUGAGUGCUGUAUAUUGUUAUAUGUAAUUUCUAAAUAUCCAGUUUGAAAUUAUGCAUUUAAGAUCAAAUUCAGUGUUCAGAUAUGAUUAACUGCUUGACAUGGCAGUGUUGAAUGAGAUGGAAACCUCAAAGACCACUACAAUGUCAGGCAAACCCACCAGUGUAUUUGUGACUCAUUAUGACACGAGUACACAGAUUCAGUAUCAGUGUUAACGGCACCCUUCGUCAUCUCAGCUGCCCCCAUAAGAGUUUGUGCCUAGACAGAAGAGGCCUAAGCGUUAAAAGAGCUGAUGCUGCUCAAUAAAAUAGCCGGUAACACUUUAGAAUACUGUUUCUUACUUAUUGCGUAACUAAUAAGGAAUUACUGAAGAACUGUGAUUAUGAUUAUUCAUUAACACUUAACUCACUACUGUUAAAUACUGUUAAAGUCGUAGUUUUUGCUAUUUCUGAACCAAAAUGUAUUUUCAAUGCUUUAAAAUAUUCUAACUGACCCUCUGAUGUCACAUGGACUACUUUGAUGAUGUUUUUAUUAGCUUUCUGGACAUGGACAGUAUACCGUACACACACAGCUUCAAUGGAGGGACUGAGAGCUCUCUGACUAAAUCUAAAAUAUCUUAAACUGUGUUCUGAAGAUAAAUGGAGGCCUUACUGGUUUGGAACGACAUGAGGGUGAGUUAUUAAUGACAUAAUUUUCAUUUUUGGGUGAACUAACGCUUUAAGACCCUCAUUAUUGGCUCAUGCUUUUUAUGCCCUCAUUGGGGCGCUCCAGGGCUGGUCUUACAGAGAGGAUUUGUUCUGCACUUCCUUAUAUCACAAUGAUAGUGGAAUGUUGUUACUCACAUAACCUUGAUUCCCUGAAAUAAGGGAAGGAGUAUUGCAUAAGCGGCCAUACGGUUCUCAACCCGUGGCCCGUCACGAAUUCAAAUGCGGCCCACCAUGCUGAGCACACUUAUAAUAAUAAUAAUAAUAAUAAAAAAAUCAGUUUUAGAAUGAAUGUUAUCUUUUACAUUAAUUAAAAAACAUAAUAAAGAAAUAUAAGCUAUAGCCUAAUGUUUUUAUGUGAAAUUAUUUUGUUUUUUAAAAUAUAUUUGUCUUACAUGAAGCAGAGGCUAUAGCUAAUAUUACGCAUUUAAAGAACACAUACAAGCGCGCACUUUGGCAGAAUUCCAUUCAACUAGUCAUCAACAGCCAUUAGUUCAGGAAAAAUUGAGCAUCAGAAUGCGCCGUGCAUACGGGACCGCUAGGCAUGAUGUAAAAAUCAUCCUCGGAGAGUGUGUUCGGAGGCUCUGAGCGGAAGACCUCGUGCCUCCCACUUUUUUAUGAACGCGCGGACACAUGCACGUGGUCAGUAGGCUUAAAAAGCACAUGUGCAGGCAGAGUGAAAAAGCCCAUUGCUACUCGAACCUGUGCAAUCCGCCAAUAAAAUAAUAAAAAGAGUCAGAUGUGCAAUAAUUCUAGGCAAUUGUUGUUCACAUGUUUGUUCCAGAGCGGACUAUCAGUGUGCACUUUCGGAAGUAGGCUUAUAAAUGUAAAGAAGUCCGGGUCCGCGCUUGCCGUGUUUGCGUCCGGAUUGCUCACGCGGAAAGUAGCUAUAACACAGGCUUUACAAUAAGGAAUACGUAUAGACAAUUUUUUGUCAAAAUUGGUCGGCUCCCAACAACAUCCGGUGUUUUAUUUAUGGGGAGUAGAUUUAUUUAUUUAUUUCAAUGAAUGUAAUCGAUUAGAUUAUCAUUAUAUUUAGGCUAAAAUAUUAUAAAUCAGGUUGGUUUGUAUUGGUGACGUAUUAUGUAAAUGAUAUGCGUGCGGCCCAAGAGACUUGCACUUGGGCCAUAGUGCUGGUGGAAAAAAAAGGUUUGAGAACCACUGCUCUAGGGUUAUUAUUAAAGUAGCCUAUACUGUCAAACAGCAGAGGGCGGUCAGGAGACGGGUUGAAACAGUGAGAAGACAUGACUAAAAAUAGCAGAUGGAGGCUUCUCGAUGGCUGGAGUGCGACUGGGAAACCGACAAAGGAGGAAGCCGCUAUGAAUCACCAUUUUGCUAUUAUGUAUUAUCAGCAUUAGUGACUGCUGACAUAAAAAAAAAAUAUUCACUGAGGGAGUCUAGUGGUUGGAGAGUUUGUCUAGUGGUUAGACGAGUUUUGACUCCUAAUCCUAGGUUGUGGGUUCGAGUCUCGGGCUGGUAAUACCACGACUGAGGUGCCCUUGAGCAAGGCACCGAAACCUCAACUGCUCACCAGGCACCGCAGCUUAAAAGGCAGCCCAGUUUGUGUGUGUUCACGGCUGUGUGUAUGAUGGGUUAAAUGCAGAGCACGAAUUCUGAGUAUGGGUCACCAUACUUGGCUGAAUGACACUUCAGUUUCACUUUCAGUGGUGUGGUGAAUGUUAUCAACACAAUAUAACCCACAAGUGUUCCCUUUAUUUUUUUAGCAGUUUUUUAAGAUGACCACACGUUUCAGGAAGAUUAAAAUUGAGGUGGUGAGGAGGACUAUCGCUGGCCCUGCAAAGUUUUCUUACCUCAGUCAAGGUCUUCCCCAGCGCAGCUACAAACAGACCCACCCUUCCGACCCUUCUAUUACAUCUCAACUGGCUGAACCUGAUGAUUUGACACCAAGCUGUUCUGAGAGUGCAUACAAUAAGGCAAAAAGAGAGAGCUUCAUGCCUGGGAUGUAGCCAAGGAUGACAUGCAUAAGGUGUCGUUUGAAUGUUCAGCACCAAUUAAUACCCAGUGUGUUGUCUGCCAAGAACAUGCUGAUUAUAGGUGCAUUGAGUGUUUUGUGAGGUUUGCCUGAAGAGGACUCACAGAAAUUCACUGCAUCUUCCUGAAAAGUGGAAUAAUGUUAACUAUGAUCCAUCCUCCCUGGGGUUAUUCUUAUAUUUACCUGAAGCCCAUGGCACCCAUGCUGUGUACACAAAGGACAUGAAGGUCAUUGUCAGCACAGGACGGCUCUGCACCAUUACAGUCAAUGUGUGUGCGUGUGAACCAGAAGCCUGCACUCUGCUAAGGUAUGGCCAGCAACAGCCGACAAGCCCCGACAAGCCCCAGGCAGUCUUCUGCAUCCCUCUGCUAGAGCUUUUUGUUUUUUCUGUCACUGGAUUGUCAGGUUUCUGUUGAGGGUUUUUGCAACACCCUGCACUGGAAAAAUAACCUCACACGUGCAGAGGUACAGUAAGUCAGUUUGCAGAGAUCAGGUUGAUGUCUUGUCUGUUAAGUGAAAAUUUCAGUUACUGUCAUGGAAGUCUGAUAGAGUCCAUAUUGAAGUGAAAAUUAUACCUUCUUCCUUGAUUGUACUACAUCAUUAUCACAAAAGUAAACAUUUAUGGAACUAUCUAGGAUUGUACAUGCAAAAGUAUUCUUUAUAUUUUCUUAUAAAAUAACAACUUCUGAGUAAACCACCAUCACCAGAUGUAAGUAUACGAAACAGUAAUAUUUUCACUAACUUCUGCUUGUACCAUAGGUUAACAUACUCUACAGAGCCCUGGUGGGGGAAUUCAUAUCCCAUUUUAGGCAUCACUCCUUACAACAAAGAAGUUUGGUCGAUUUUUGCCCACAAUUAAAUGAUGGAACCAUAUGCCCAGCAUGUCCAAAGGCGGAUGGAGAUAUGAUUGUCACAUUGGAUGCCAACUUUGGCCUUUUGAGGAAGCAAAGCUCCUGUACAAGUGCGGUUGAGCAAUUACAUGGAACCUCAAUGUUUGUCGAUGAAAAGAAUGUAGAGGAAUACCUGCUAUCACAUCUUGACAGCUCAAAGCCUCACAAGGUUAAUCAUUGUUGCAGCAAACAUAAUUUAAAGCAACAUCUCAAAGGCAGCUUGUUCAUUUUUAACUGUUGCCAAAGGAAUAUGUGGGUAUUGCACAUCAAUUAAUCUCAGAUAUUGCUGAUAAUCAAUCAAAAGAAAAAAGCAGGUUUUCCUGGGUUCCAGUUCAGAAAGCGGCUUUAGUAUAACCCUGAAAUAAGGAAAUUCUGUUUUUUUCGUUUCAGAAAUGGAUGUAAAUCAAACCUGAGAUAGAGAGGUAACUAAAUUUUAAUUUAAGAAAUCUCAUGACCACUUUGUUCUUCAGCUGCUUCCAGUUUGAGAUGGUGGUAGUCUUUGACAAUUUCUUCAAUGUGAGAAUAUUUGAUGUUGAUAGCCUUGUAAACAAAAAUCAGAUGGAAUAUUUUUUUUAACGAAAUAAUUUGAAAUUAUAAACAAUCCAGUUGUCUAACACAAUGUUCUGCUCACACCACAAUUGCUGUUGAUUUAAAGUAAAUUCAUACAACGACAAUCAGUAGUUGGGUUGCGAAAACCAUUUAUCUGAAACAACUCUGUAAAAACAAGAUAACGUGUAAAGUAGAUGACCUGAUGAUUCUUUUCAAUACACUCAGCAUUCUUAAACUGAUGAAUGCAAUUUGCGUGAGAGUGAAGUACUUGCCAAAUACUAUCAUGAAAAUCUGUUUCAAGACGUUUCAUGACCCUCAUAAACCUUAUGUCAACAAGGCCACCAUGUAUGAAAAGAAACAAUUUAGUAUAAAAAAUAAAAACAGUAAAUUUGGUUUCUCACCUAUGUUUUUGUAGUAAUGAUGAGAUAGGAUCCAAAUGCAAAUGAAAGACAGUUUAUUGAGAGAGCGGUGACACAAGCUUCUUCAAACGGGAACUCAAGUAGCUGCAGGUUAUGCAGAGAUAAUUAGUCUCUUUAAACUGAAACACAGGCUGAUUGCAAAAAACAAAGGAAAGUUUACAGGGCGGUCUCUGAAGAGGGUCCCCUUAUACAGCAGGGUCUGUAGAUAGCCACCAGCAUCAUACUCUGACGAAAUAAUCCGGCAACUGGCAAGAAAGCAGAGGACAUUAAAUAGCAAGUGGGUUAGAGGAGGUAACAGGUGAAAUGGAUCAGGGAGAAAACCACUAAUGAGAAACAGCUGAAGAGAGAAAGGGAAAGAGUGAGGUAGUGACCAGCAGAGGGGGGGGGGGAAGGAAAGGAAAAGCCAGAGAGAAGAACCAGUCUCAUAACAGUUUAGAAUAUGUCCCUACAAAAAAGAUUGUAAGGCGACAGCUCUCUAAUGUGAACUUUGGCCUUUCAUGGCCGGGGCUCAGACGAAGCAUUAGUCAUUUGUGAUCUUUUGUAAUUACCGAUCCAGUUCUGAAAAACAAAAUAUAGCGAAAGGGUAUUAAACAAAUUAAACCGAAUGUUAACAAAACACUUCAUUUAUACAAGCAGUGCAGCAGAAUUAUAUAUUUAUUUGACAUGUUGUUUGUUAGUGUGGCACAAAAGUAAAUACUUCUACGACACUGGUGUCCAAACCAGUAGCUGAUGCAGCUCCUGCUAUUAAUUCUGAACCAACUUGUGUCAUUCCAUCCUUGAAAAAUGAUUUCAGGGUUUCCUUUUGAUUCCAAUUAAUGGGAGUUCUCUCUUGUUGAAUAACAACAAAGAAAGAAAUAGAUAGUCAGUAAUAAAUCAGUAAUAAAAAAAAGACAGUGUUGCAGAUCAUACCAUCGUUCUCAGACACUCUUGCCUAAUUUUUCUAGAUUAGCAACUGUAAGGCUUACCUCUCUGGGCCAUCUUCAACCUAAAACAUAAACAGAGAGAAGCUUGCACAAGACAGAUUUGUGAACAAUAAAUUCUAAACUGCCUAAUUAAUAACAGUUUAAAUGCUCAGUUUUAUCAUUUUAAUAGUCUUACCUGAAAAUAUUAAUCUGGAAAUAUAGCAACGUUGCCGUGUCAUCCAGUAGACUUCCGAUUACCGGUGAGCUGGAAUUCUGGGAUUGGAUCUGGAGUAUUCUCUUGCAUAUUUGUGGGUGAUUAACCAUGUGGAUGGAUGAUAAUGGCCUUCUGAGCCUACUAGUAGGCUCAGUAGGCCCCUCCUGGCCCAUAUCUAUGAGCUGAUAACGCCAAUUCAAUCGAAUGAUAACAUUCGAAGCGGGUGCACCAACCCCCUGCCCCUAUUCAAAGUCGGGAAAUCUGAGGCAUUGGGUUGUGUGCGUUUUGCUAGACUGACUGAUAUUCCACAGUCUGUUUGGAAGCCUUCUUUUCAGUGAGUGUCUAUGGGUUACCAAAAGGAAAAAAAUAAAUUAAACAACAUUUUAAACUUUUUUUGUCGUCAUGUAACAUAAAGCAGCCACAGCAGCACUUAUGUUUUUGUUGUUGUCACCCCCCCUCCCUUUUAUUUGAAACACUCCCUAAUGCAUUAACUGAAUUAUCAUGAAAUAUCUUGAUUCUCACCUUUAAAUAUUAUGUUGAUCUUUAAUGGACAAUGGUUAAAGUAACCUAAUAAUAUAAACUAUGCAUAAAAAACCAGUCUGUUUACUUAAUGAACAGACAUGGGUGUGAUGCCCUAGGCUAACAUAUUUUCAAUAGACAAAGUUUAUAUUUAAUGCAAAUUUCACACUGAAAUAUAAUGUGAAAUAAAAAAAUUGAAAGCUGGGCUAUUAAUCAUAACACGUUCAUUGUAAGAAAGACAUUUUCACUGACAGUCUAGUUCAAGCACUCUUAAAGACUCAAAUCACUGAAGCUGCAUACACUAUGAAAUUAAUAUCUUACAGAUUUGUACACACAUUUGCACUUUAUUUCCAUGAAGGUUAUUAUUGACAAGAGAAUUCGCCAAAGAGGUAUGAUUAAGCGAUUGAGUGAAAAAAAACACUGGCGUUUCAGCGAUGACUUAUCUGAGCACCUCUGAUCUGAGAAUCUCAACCGCAUCGACCAUCGCAACUGGCCCACCUUCACCUCUCAUUCUCUCUUCCUUUCAAGCACCAGAUUAAAGAGUUGGUAGUUACAGCUGUUCGUCAGAUGCGCACCACCCUUCAUUGGUAUUUCACCGAUUCACUGGAUUUACCCCUGCUGACCACCACCAACUCUGUCAUAGUUCACCCUAUAGUAGCCUUAUGUUAUAUAUAGGUUGACCCUGCCACUGCACCUCUCGCUGCAUCCAGAUCCACUGGGCUGCUUUUUCAGCCUGUUCGGUAACCUUGCCUACCAGCUGUUUCCUGGCCAUUCCUUAGAAUACCCAGCAUCCCAAGGGUUCUCCAGAGUGACUGCCCAGCAAAACCUCUGAAGCUGACCUCCACUGGUGAAUUCCAGGCCGUCCAUCCAUUUUGCUGUCUCUCAAGGAUCAGGUCUUGAUAUUUCUUGCACUUUCGCUCAUGAGCCUCCUCCAUCCUUUCUUCCCAGGGUACAGUUAACUCUAUAUGCACCACCUGCUUAGUGCCUCUAGACCAGGGGACAAUAUCCGUUCUGAGGCUGGUGUGUUCUGUAUCCUCUGGCAAUAUUUGAUAAUUAAACAGCAAUAUGAAAGUGUCUUAUGCUCAUCAAGCCUGCGUUUAUUUGAUCAAAAAUACAGAAAAAGCAUUUUAAAAGAAUAAUUAACUUGUACUCAAUUUUAAAGAAUGUUUUUUAAUUUUAAUAAACUUUAAAAUAUAAUUUAUUUCUGUGAUGCAAAUCUGAAUUUUCAGCACCGUUACUCUACUCAUACCAUUGUCUUCAGUGUCACAUGAUCCUUAAGAAGUCAUUAUAAUAUGCUGAUUUAUUAUCAGUUUUGGAAGAGUUGUGCUGCCAUUAUAUCAUUAUUUUUAAUUUUUUGUAACCUAUGAUAGGCCCUAAUUUGUGGGGAUCAUUAAUAAAUGAAAUGUUUAAAAGGACAGCAAGAGAUGCUUAGCACUUGUUGGCCCUUUUGCCUUCACUCUGUGGUCCAGCUCACCCCUAAACCAUCUGGAUUGGGUUCAGGUCAAUAUAGCUCAAAUAGCCCUUGAUGCCUUCAGUGUGACUCUACAAUCUUCAUAGUCAUGAAAAUAAAGAAAACUCUUUGAAUGAGAA